GACGAACGCUGGCGGCGUGCUUAACACAUGCAAGUCGAACGAAGAGCGAUGGAAGCUUGCUUCUAUCAAUCUUAGUGGCGAACGGGUGAGUAACGCGUAAUCAACCUGCCCUUCAGAGGGGGACAACAGUUGGAAACGACUGCUAAUACCGCAUACGAUCCAAUCUCGGCAUCGGGACUGGAUGAAAGGUGGCCUCUAUUUAUAAGCUAUCACUGAAGGAGGGGAUUGCGUCUGAUUAGCUAGUUGGAGGGGUAACGGCCCACCAAGGCGAUGAUCAGUAGCCGGUCUGAGAGGAUGAACGGCCCAAAUGGGACUGGGAAACGGCCCAGACUCCUACGGGAGGCAGCAGUGGGGAAUCUUCCGCAAUGGAGGGAAGGCUGAAGGGGCAAAGCCGCGUGAGGGAUGACGGGCUUCGGGUUGGAAAGCUCUGUUAAUCGGGACGAAUGGUACUUGUGCGAAUAGUGCGAGGAUUUGACGGUACCGGAAUAGAAAGCCACGGCUAACUACGUG
rnacentral:rRNA from 1 species